GGCAAGCAUGCGGUCACGCAUUGUGCGAAAACGCGGGCACACGAACAAAACGUGUUCCGCCGUUUCCUCUGAACCAUUGCACACUGGGCAUUCGGGAGAAUCCGCAUGCCCGAAACGGUGUAGAUACUGUCGGAAGCAACCAUGACCUGUAAGGACCUGUGUCAGGUGGAAUGUGACUUCCCCAUGGCGCCUAUUAAUCCAACUAUCUACCCUCGGUAUCAACCUAUAGGUCCACCUUCCUUUGGUGGAACUGUCCCACGCGCGCUGCCAUUUGACCAUAGAGGCCAUCCUGACAGUCCUGCGUAUGCCUCUUGCGCCGCGCAUUUCAAUGUACUCCAUGUCCUCACUGAUAAGGAUGCCGAUAGGCACCAUAACGCAGAAAGCGUCGUGUGACACGGUACGGUACGCGCCCGCAACCCUCAGGCACAUAAGCCUGUAAGUACUUUCCAGCUUCCAUCGGUAGCAUUCAGUACUUAGCGCAGUGCCCCACGCCGGGCCGCCAUACCUAAGCAUGGACGUAGCAACACUAGCCACACAGACAAACAGACGUAACACUCUUCAAAACGGCUUGGCACUUGCAUUUAACGAUCAAUUCAAAUUUCAUUUGAUUUGCGUGAUCCUUCCCCCAGAGGUGCUAGUGUUCGAUCGCUUUGACGUUUGCCAGUGUAUACGUUGCUGAAUGAUGCAAACGAAAAUUACAGGCGAUUUGUGUAAUAGUGUGCGUGUUAGCACAGAGAACAGACGUCCAAGCCCAUGUAGUGCUAUUGUGUAAAGCAAUGCAACGGUUGUUUUGAAAUAACUGGGAAUGUGGCCAUUACGCGGCGCUGUCAAAUUUCGAAUCGGGGUACAAAUUUGCCGUUGUUUUACUUUUUGGCGCUAGUGUCACCAAGUGUGCACCCUAGUAUAGUUCCACCAAGAGAAUGUGUGGUUUUACUUGGAAAACAAUAAUUGAAUUCUUGUUUAACUUGUUUCUUAUUGAAAAUAAUUAAACUAACUAUCAAUGGGUUGCUCAAAUUUUGUUGCUGGAUUAGUGAAAUAAUCAUAAACAUCUUGUUAUUUAAGCAAAUAAAGCUCAGAAUCUGAGUAGGAAAAUUUAAUGGUGCGCUAGUGAAAUAUUCCUUCAGAAAGCGCCAUCAUGGUGUCGAAACAAAUUUUUGAGUGGGAAAGUCACCGUCGAUGUCGCUACUGAACUUGUUUUUUCUUUACACAGGAUUUUCAAGCAAUUUUGUUCGAGCAUGUUCGUCUGUUCUCUGUGGUGUUAGACAAACGUCAAACUGAAAUCCAUCAUGGCCGACAGUGUCUCGCGCGGUUCUAUCAACAGGUGGCAGUGUGCUCAUAAAAAAGACACCAGGCAAAAGUUUUUAAUGAAUAUCCUCUAAGAGUUACGUCUGUUUGUCUGUGCUAGCCAGAAGCUUGCGCUUACUGGCGUACACCGCAGAGCUAUUGGACAUCAUCCGGGACAGUGCCGCAAUAGCUGUGGAGGCUCUUUUACAGGCAUAAUCGACGUGGCUACCGAAGGUAAGCUUAUCAUCGAUCAUCACGCCCAAGUGUUUGACGGAGUGACAGGAUAGUGCACUCGUCUACACUGAUCACCGCCUGCUACUCCGACUUCCGGUUGUUAACAACCGUCACCUCUGUCUUGUGGUGAGCCAGCUCCAGUUUCCUGGACCGCAUCCACGCCUCCACAACCUUGAUCGAGUGGUCAGUAGUCAACUUCACCUCCUCGAUCGUUUCACCGUAGACUUCGAGCGUUAUGUCGUCGGCAAAACCGACAAUCUCCACUCCCACUGGGUACUCGAACCUCAACACCUCGUCGUACAUGAUAUUCCAUAACACCGGACCCAGGAUGGAACCUUGCGGGACUCCUGAGGUUAUGUGGAAGCACUUCCGACCCACCUCCGUGUCGUAGACUGGUACACGAUUCUGAAAGUAACUUCCGAGAAUCUUGUACAGGUACUCCGGUAUCCCCAGACGCAAGAGCGCAUCGGCAAUAGCAGCCCAGCUGGCGCUAUUAAAUGCAUUCCUUACAUCCAGAGUCACUACACUGAAAUAAAUUUUGUUGUGGAAACUACCGAUUCCAUAGUAAAAUUAAUAACCGUACCUAUGAUUCUCAACCGACAACAAAAUCUGUUAAGGUAACUGAAAUAUGCUUGAAAUUACAAUGCAUUGUAGUAAACUCAACUAAAAGGGUAGUCGCCUCAAUAACAAAACAUUGUGAUUUUUCCUGGACAAGCAUUUUACAACACAGUAUGCUUAAAAAUACAAUGCUCAGUUGUUAAAUUAAGAUUAUUUUUGGUAAUGUUAACUGCACUGCUAGUUAAGUUGACAGUAUUUUAGUGGAAUUAACUGGAAAUUCCUGUCGGUUGAGAAUCAUAGGUACGGUUAGUAAUUUUACUAUGAAAUCGGUAGUUUCCACAACAAAAUUAAUUUCAGUGUACCGCGCAGAAGCGAAUUCCCCUCCUCUUAGGCUCGAGUGCUUUCUCGGCGGUUUUUGUAACCGACAAGAUAGCGUCUACGGUGGACCUCCCCUUCCGGAAGCCGUACUGGUUGCUCGAAAGACCAUUUUCGCUCUCGGUGAACCUCAACAUUCUAUUGAGGAUGAUCUUUUCGUGUCAAUCAAGCAUGUUGGUCUACAUAUAUGCCGACGGGUCUCCGGGUGGUUUACCCGCCUUUGGCAAUAGUAAAUAUCAGGCUCUGCCUCUUCCAAGCUUCUGGGAAAACUCCCUCGUCCAGGCAUUUCUGCAUAGCAGACCUGAACAUCUCGGGAGCCUCUGCAAUAGCUACUUUUAAGGCCAGGUUCGGAACUCCAUCCGGACCUGGGGCCUUACCUACGCUAAGGGACUUAGCUAUCCCCGCAAGUUCCACAUCGGUGCCCCUCUCCUCAUCGCCAGCCCCAGCCCCCGGCUGUCCUACGAAAGGAGGCCAAGGACUAGGAUCAUGACGCGGAAAAAGUCCUCCAAUGAUCCCCUCCAACAUCUCUGGAGAUUGCUCUGUAGGAGCCAUCACACCCCUCGUCUUGGCCAUAACGAUCCUGUAGGCGUCACCACACGGGUUCGCGUUGGCACUCUGACAGAGACCCUCAAAGCAAGCCUUUUUGCUUGCUCUUAUCUCGGUCUUGAGCGCGGCUUUUGCGGCGGCGAACACCACCCGCCGUUCGUUUCGCUCUUCCUCUGAUCGUGCUCGCUGCAUCCGCGCCUAGCCCGUAGGCAGGCGCGGCGCAGGUCCGCAAUCGCGUCGGUCCACCAGUAAGCUGGUGGCCUCCCAUUUCUAGGGUGGACUCGCCUAGGCAUGGUCGCAUCACACGCACGUGAGAGCACCGCGGCCACGGUUUGAGAUAUGCUAUCAUGCCAUAUGGAUAUCUAUCGAUCGGGCUUGUAAGUGUUUGGUUUGUUAAUUGGUUGUGUUGAAGGGAUUUUGUAUUUGUAUGUGCGGAAAUGUGUUAAGGACAGGUAGAUUUUGUGUCGGAUAUUCAGGUUUUUCCCUAGCUGACCCACCUGGCAUACGAGUAGGGCACUAGUAGGCGAAACCACCCUGGCUACCACCACCUACCAGCUUUAGAAACCCACCACCAGAGGUCUUCGAGCGGCCCAUUCAGGCGGCCAUUAGGAGGGCGAAAUAGGGGCCAUUGCAACAAACCCGAAUGAAAGGGUAAUGACCGAUGGCUCAGGUCAAGAACCUUGAAGGCCAAUACUGAAAUUCCACUCGCUCACUUGCCUAAAGACAGUCCCAGAGAUUAGUUCGAAGAAAAGUUUACAGCUGUGAGCAAAUUUAGUAAGACAGAAGUUAUAGUGGAAAGAGUGGAAAGAGAGGAGGAAGAAGUGAGCGGAAAGUGGACAUCAGGACCCCGCCGUUUUGGUAUAGAAACCACCACAUUUCUAUUACCGCCCCUACGCUGUCCUAGUGCCCCAUUCCGGGUGAAUUCCGGCAUCGUUGUUGGCCGAAGACCGAUCCGCCAAUAUCGGUAGCCUAGGACGCGUGGGAAGGUCCCAGGAAGCUGCAGUGAGAACCCCUAGAGCCAUCGCAGAAGCAGAAAGUGGCCAGACGUGGCGGAAGCCGUGAAGAACCAACGAAGAACAUCGGCGGCCGUUACCAGGCUGCGAGGAAGCCUGGUCAGGUGGUUGGUGAGGAGCAGAGGGGCCCCGACGAAGAGAAAAAGGUCAGAUUAGCGCAUAAGAAAGUGGGAAGAAGUGCAGGAUAAGGAGUAGGCCAAACUUGUGUCAGAAUAAACAGUUAAGAAAGACAGAAUAAAGUGGGAGUUUUUCGAAAAGUG